rnacentral:rRNA from 1 species
UACAGAGGCCUCGAGCGUUAGGCGGAAUCACUGGGCUUAAAGCGUGUGUAGGUGGAUGCUUAAGUACCUUGUGAAAUCCCACAGCUUAACUGUGGAAUUGCUGGGUAUACUGGGCGUCUUGAGCCACUCAGGGGCUACCGGAACAAGCGGUGGAGCGGUGAAAUGCGUAGAUAUCGCUUGGAACGCCAAUGGUGAAAACAGGUAGCUGGGGGUGUGCUGACACUGAGACACGAAAGCCAGGGGAGCGAACGGG